rnacentral:rRNA from 1 species
GAUGAACGCUCGCUACAGGCUUAACACAUGCAAGUCGAGGGGAAACGACAUCGAAAGCUUGCUUUUGAUGGGCAUCGACCGGCGCACGGGUGAGUAACGCGUAUCCAACCUGCCCAUCACUUGGGAAUAACCUUGCGAAAGUAAGACUAAUACCCAAUGAUAUCCCACGAAGGCAUCGGAAUGGGAUUAAAGAUUUAUCGGUGAUGGAUGGGGAUGCGUCUGAUUAGCUUGUUGGCGGGGUAACGGCCCACCAAGGCAACGAUCAGUAGGGGUUCUGAGAGGAAGGUCCCCCACAUUGGAACUGAGACACGGUCCAAACUCCUACGGGAGGCAGCAGUGAGGAAUAUUGGUCAAUGGGCGAGAGCCUGAACCAGCCAAGUAGCGUGCAGGAAGACGGCCCUAUGGGUUGUAAACUGCUUUUAUAAGGGAAUAAAGUGGGUCACGUGUGACUUUUUGCAUGUACCUUAUGAAUAAGGACCGGCUAAUUCCGUG